rnacentral:rRNA from 2 species
GGCGCAGCCCUGGAUCCAGCAAUGCCGCGUGGUGUGAAGAAGGCCUGCGGGGUUGUAAAGCACUUUUAUUAGGGAAGAAACGGCCAAAGUUAAUACCUUUGGAAUUGACGGUACCUAGAAUAAGCACCGGCUAACUCCGUGCCAGCAGCCGCGGUAAUACGA